CGCCGCGCGGCGGGCGGGGCGGGGGCACGGGGGGAGGAAAGUAGGGGAUCGCAAGACCUUGCGCUAAAGGAGCGGCCGAUGUCUGAUUAGCUAGUUGGUGGGGUAAAGGCUUACCAAGGCAACGAUCAGUAGUUGGUCUGAGAGGACGGCCAACCACACUGGGACUGAGACACGGCCCAGACUCCUACGGGAGGCAGCAGUGGGGAAUUUUGGACAAUGGGCGAAAGCCUGAUCCAGCCAUGCCGCGUGAGUGAAGAAGGCCUUCGGGUUGUAAAGCUCUUUUAGUCGGAAAGAAAGAGUUGCAAUGAAUAAUUGUGAUUUAUGACGGUACCGACAGAAAAAGCACCGGCUAACUACGUGCCAGCAGCCGCGGUAAUACGUAGGGUGCGAGCGNNNAUCGGAAUUACUGGGCGUAAAGGG
rnacentral:rRNA from 1 species